UUGCAUGUUCCUUGUUUGAAAUAAAAGUGUGUGGAGGGGAUCAAAGUGUGCUAGCUGUACGUGAUUAUGUUUGAAACACAAUACGUGCCAAAUUCGUAAAUUUUAUGACAUGUCGGUUCUUAUGUGAAAUUAUCUACGAAGUCCCGAGUUAGAUGCUCAAAGUUGCUGAUGACUAUGGCUGAUACUUUUGGAAGAUUUCACUGCAACUACUGUCAGGAGAACAUCAACGGGCUGAGGAUCAAAUGUGUGGAGUGUGAAGACUUUGAUCUUUGCCUGCAGUGUUUCUCCUGCGGUGCAGAGAUAGGGAAGCACAAGAACAACCACAGCUACCAAUUCAUGGAUCCGGGCAACUUCACCGUGUUCAACUCGGACAACGCCUGGACGGCGAAGGAGGACGUGCGCCUGCUGGACGCCAUCGAGCAGUACGGCUUCGGCAACUGGGUGGACAUCGCCAGACACAUCGAGAAACGCACGCCCGAUGAGGCGCAUGACAAGUUCGUCACGUACUUCGUGAACGGCGUGACGGGCCGGCUGACGAUGCCGCCGCUGUCGGAGCUGCAGCAGCUGCCGGUGGCCGUGGACCACACGGGCUCGGACUCUGGCCCGCUCUCUCCCAGCCUGACCAUGUCGCCGGGCCUAGCGCCGCUCCAGCUGGAGGGCGAUCAGGCCGCCCAGCUUGGCUACAUGCCGCUCCGCGACGACUUUGAACGGGAAUACGACAAUACAUGCGAGACGCUCGUCUCGCAGCUCAAUAUAGGCAGCGUGGAGGAUGAGGACAUCGACGUUGCGCUGAAGCUGGCUCACGUGGACAUGUACGUGCAGCGGCAGCGGGAGCGGGCGCGCCGCAAGCGCGUGGUGCGCGACUACCAGCUACCGGCCGCCUUCUUCGAUGAGCUGAAGAAGGAGGCGCUGCUGCAGGUGCCGGGCGGCGCGCGCAUGCCGCGCCGCCGCCAGGACAAGGGUCGCACGCUGGCCGACCGGCUGCGCACGCUCGGGCAGUUCCUGACGCGCACCGAGUACCAGCAGUUCCACGACAACGUUCAGGCCGAGCGAGACCUGGUCUACCGCGUCAAGGAGCUGAUGCGGUACCGCCGUAACGGCAUCACCAAGAUCGCUGACUGCGUGGAGUUUGAGCGCGCACGUAGCCGCCGCAGCGCCGAGACGGACGACCGGAAGCCCAUCAAGCGAAAGAAGAAGCUCCUGCGCUUCUCCCGAAAGAAAGAGCGAAACUCCCGCUACUGGCGCUUCAUCCUGGCUCAACGCGCCCUGCUCGACCAACGGCAGCAGCAGCAGCAGCAGCGGCAGCGUGAGCAGGCCGGCGGCCGCUGACGGCUCGCCGGCCGGCGCCACCGACGAGCCCGAGCCGCUGAACGAGUCGGCCGGCUUCCACCUGCUGAGCCGCGCCGAGAAGCGGCUGUGCGCCCGGCUCCGGCUGCGCCCGGCCAGCUACGUGGCCUUCAAGACGGGUCUGCUGAGCGACCAGCUGCUGCGGUUUGGCGG
rnacentral:misc_RNA from 1 species